CUUUGGCCUGGCCUUGAGAAGAGUUGGCAGGACCCACAGGGUCCACAAGAAGUCAGCUUGGGAGAGUGCGGUCACCUCCUUGGAGGAGGAGAUGCCCAAGGGGACCACCCCACCCCAGCUGUGGGGAAGGCCCUGCCUGUGACCACGCAGGCCCGGCUGAGAUUUGUGCUUCAGCAUCAGCCACAGGCUUGGCCACUGCCAGAGGCUUGGAUGAGUACUGGAGGGAGGUUUGCCCUGUGGUUAGG
rnacentral:lncRNA from 1 species